CCGGUAGUACGUCUGGUUGAGGGUCAAUGAA
rnacentral:rRNA from 1 species